UAAAUUAAAUAGGUUUGAUUGGCACUGAGAAGAGUUGUAGAAGUCCUAGUCUUACGCACAUUUUAUUUGCUGAUGACAGCGUAGCCUUUGGUGAGGCUAUGAGAAGUGGUGCUCUGUUUUGAUCCAUCAUUCAGGAAUACGAAAAUUUCUCGAGCCAACAGUGUCAUGGGGAGGUAAGGAUUGGACGAUUCGAGCUCCAGUGAACGCCGGACAGCCAUGCUCGACAGAGGCAGAGUCAGGAGAGGCGGUGGUAGUCAUGAAAGCAAAACGAGAAUCAGGUCUCCAGAAUCACGGCGACUGAUACCAUGUCUGCGAAUUUUGAGAAAACAGGUUCGGAAGUCGGUUACGCACGAGGAAGGGUUAGCACCCUCAUGACACCCAAAAUUGGUACCGAAUUGAUUGUUUAAUGUCUUAGUGUCGGGAAUUUGAAAAGAUUUUAAAAUACAAUCCUUUCUUUUUAUUAAUGUUAAUUCUAUAAAAGAUGCUUGGAUAAAUCGAUGCGAAUGCUAAAGACCUUCUUGCCUCAGAGAAUAAAAUGUCACACCCAAUACAUUAGAACACGACAUUUUUAGUCCCCGAGAGUAAGCUUGUCUUUUGAUUUUCAAAACUCUUGUGGUGAAGUUAAAAAGAGAUAUUCAAUUGCUUUAAG